rnacentral:lncRNA from 1 species
AGUGGCGAUUCCAAGAAUAUUAGAGAGCCUAGGAAAAAUUUUGGAGGGAAUUUUAUCAACCAAAUUUCUGGAUACAAUAAUAUUUAAACCAGCAAAAACUUCUUCAUCUCUGAACUUAAAUGAUGCAAAAUUAAGACAUAAGCUUACAGCAAGGAAAAACACAGGACACCAAGGUCUGGCUAAAAACAAAUAGAAAUAGCAGCAGAAAAAUAAACCAACAGAGGACCGAAAUUUGGAUAAAGAAACAUGAAAACAGCUUAACAGUCAAAACAACUUAUUUAUAUAAUCACUUAACAAUCAAAACAGUUUAACAAAUUUUAAAUUGGACAUAAAAACAGCUUAAUAAUCAAAACAACUUAUUUAUAUAAUCACAUAACAAUCAAAAACAGCUUAAAUUUUUUUAAAUUGAACAUAAAAACAGCUUAACAAUCAAAACAACUUAUUUAUAUAAUCACUUAAUAAUCAAAACAGCUUAACAAAUUUAAAAUUCAAUACAGAGGUUUUAGUUUUAGGUUGCUUACCUCAAAUCUAACGGACAAAUAGAGCGACAAGAAACAAAUUUAACGGAAACAAACAAAUAGAGCGACAAGACGACGAGGUUUUAGUUUUAGGUUGCUUACCUCAAAUCUGCGAGAGGGAGAGAGAGAGUGAGUGAGAGCGAUGGUGCGGCGGAAUUGAAAGCGGUUGGGAGAUUGAACGGCGACGGCGAGUGACAGAGAGAGAGCGGCGGCGGCGACCGUAAGGGCUGAGAGAGAAAUAGUAAGGUUAAUGAACUUUUCUUUCUUCUGUUUCAAUUUUAACGCAACUGAGUUUUUAUUUCUUUUGUUUUUUUUUGUAGUUCUUUUGUUUUAUUAUAAAAAAAAAAUAUUAAAAAUUGGCAGCCUAGGCACG